UUUUACAUAAAAUCAUAAUUUUUAAUUGUAAGUUGUUUUUUUUUGAGAGAAAGGCAGCGAGAUACCUGCUUUAUUCAUUAAGAGGGAUGAACUAGUCUUACAGGAUAUAUGCAGCUAAGGCAUCCGAGGAAAAGACAAGAAGGAGAGAAAGAAAAGAAUGAAAAAGAAAAAGAGAAGAACAUGAGAAGAUCCACGCUCAGCAGAAAUUGCUCCAGUUGGAAACGAAAACUUUGAUACGGUCAAGCGAGCGCAGAGGGUCGAGGGAAGUUGCUUGGAAGAUAGACUUGUUUCGCUC
rnacentral:lncRNA from 1 species